rnacentral:rRNA from 1 species
GUGGGGAAUAUUCCGCAAUGGACGAAAGUCUGACGGAGCAACGCCGCGUGAGUGAUGAAGGUUUUCGGACUGUAAAGCUCUGUUGUUUAGGACGAAAGUGCCUGUUGCAAAUAGUUACAGGUAUUGACGGUACUGAACGAGGAAGCCACGGCUAACUACGUGCCAGCAGCCGCGGUAAUACGUAGGUGGCAAGCGUUGUCCGGAAUUAUUGGGCGUAAAGAGCAUGUAGGCGGGAAUCUAAGUCUGUUGUGAAAAUGCGGGGCUCAACCCCGUAUUGCGAUGGAAACUGGGUUUCUUGAGUGCAGGAGAGGAAAGGGGAAUUCCCAGUGUAGCGGUGAAAUGCGUAGAUAUUGGGAGGAACACCAGUGGUGAAGGCGCCUUUCUGGACUGUGUCUGACGCUGAGAUGCGAAAGCCAGGGUAGCGAACGGGAUUAGAUACCCUAGUAGUCC